rnacentral:lncRNA from 1 species
UAUAUUUAAAUGUGCUAACACUUGGUCGUCGGAUGAUUUAUUGUUCCCAAAUAGGCCGUUAAGGAUAAUGUUAAUUUAUCCUCGAGUGCAUACUGGGUACCUGGCCAAGAAUCCAGUACCUAUCUCAACUAUGGGGCUGGUGUAAGUGAGGUACAAAAAGUCUGCUAAAUGUCAAUCGCACUAGCUUACUUCAAUCAUGACUGGAUGUUCUACAUAUGGAUGAUAUUGUGAUACUUCUCUGAUUUCCUUUUAAUUUUUUAUUACUAAAAAUCCAGGUAGAGAUUGAUCUUCUUACAGGAACUAUUACUUCACUACGAAGCGACAUUGUGUAUGACUGUGGAAAGAGUUUGAACCCUGCAGUGGACUUGUGCCAGGUUUGAGAUAUUUUCCACUGAGUUAUGUUCUUCUUUUAUCAUUCUGCAGUGAACAUGGAUAUUAUAUUGCAGCACUGAUCAGAGUUGCUCUUCAUUAUAGUACACGAUGGCAUCAUAUAUUCAUAUCUGAUCUCUACCAUCAUCUUACAGAUUGAAGGCUCCUUUAUACAAGGAAUUGGUUUCUUCAUAAACGAAGAACACGAAACAAACGUUGAUGGACUGGUUGUGAGUGACAGCACAUGGGUCUACAAGAUCCCGAGUGUCGACACCAUCCCGAAGCAGUUCAAUGCCGAGGUGCUCAACACCGGAUUCCACAAGAACCGUGUGCUCUCGUCGAAAGGUAGGAUCAUGAUCUCCUUCCCUAAGGCAACAUGAAUAUAUUUCGCUUGUUUGCCAAAUGAAAAAUAUCAUCAGUUAAGGUAAACAAACCGCUUUUGCCUCUGUCAGCUUGUGGGGAACCUGCCUUGGUCCUCGCAUCAUCAGUCCAUUGCGCGGUGAGAGAAGCCAUCCGAGCAGCAAGGAAGGAGUUUGGAAGCUUGCAGCUCACGUUCCAGCUCAACGUCCCUGCACCGAUGACGCUCGUGAAGGAAAUGUGUGGUUUGGACAUCGUGGAUAAGUACUUUUUUUUUAACAAGAGAAGGCACCAACAGGUGCCAAUUUCAUUCAGCUCAUUGACAGAGUACAUCAAGCAUUACAUAGACCUGCCAAGAAAAUGAAAGAAAGAGAAGCAGAGUCUAAACGCCGAAUUGUAAAUCGUAUACGUGAUGUUUGAAAUGUUUGUGAUGUUCAGUGCUGUGAGUGACACUUCUCUAAUAAUAAUUCCGGGUUGGGAUUUGUGUUUGUAAGUCCUGACUGAACCUAAAGGCGGUGCCUAGUUCCCAUAAUAGCUGCUCGCUUGCCACUUGGAAUGGCUCGCUCGAUCUAACAGUUUCCCUUUGGCUCCCCUUCCCCUCCCUAGCAGCUCCCGCGCGCCGACGCCAGGUUGCGCCGCCGGGCAAAGGAAGAACACUGAAGUUGAAAUCAGUAAAGAAGUAAAAUGUCAAGUCUCAAAAAAAAGUAAACAAGUAAAGAGUACCCAAAAGUACAAACUGUAACUAAUAAGAAUUAUCACGGCCAUUCAAGACAAAGGAAGAACAGAAAAGAACGAAGAGAAGACAAGAAAAAGAACAGUUCAAAUUUCGAAAUGUUAAAGGUCAUUUUCAUUCAGAAGUAUCUCCGUUGGGCAGGAGGAGCAGAGUUGGCCUAUUUAUAGAAGGUACUCCCUCCGUUCCACAAUAUAAGAUCAUUUUUCAAGCUAUGUUAGCUUGAAAAACGGUUUUAUAUUGUGGGGCUGAGGGUAGUAAUGGUACUUUUGCAACAUGAGAUCAUAAGAGGUACAUGCUGGCGUAUGACAAUAUGGUUGUUUUCCACGUAUUGGCUUCUAAAAGCAUUAAAAAGGCCAGUUAGCAGCUGCUGUGCCGUGCCAAAACAGUAGAAAAAAUAUUGAUAAUGCCGACUUGAAUGUACAUCGCUCCCAAAUGAACCAGUAAAAAUUUAAUGGUCUAGUAAAGGAGGACAUGCACAUACAGCCAGGAAAAGAGGGCAUGUUUGGAACACAGAAACGGGAAACGUUUGCUACAGAUCAUGUUUCACACAUUUAACCGCAUGAAAAGGGCGUGAAAACAUUCAACCACUACCAGUACUAGGACCAUGGACCACCAGAGUGAGACGAGCUUGAGCAAAGGCCCGAAUGCACCGAACUGGCACCCUCCAUGGACCACAAAAUCGUGAGAAGGUGAGAAGGCAAACUGAACACCACAUGAAGUGAUCUGUGUGUAGCUGUUUUUAAUGAGAUGGGCCAAUGCCAAACCACGGCAACUUAUAUCACACUAAACAUAAAAAGGCAACAGGAAUAAAUCAUCAAGGAGCCAUCAAUAUUUAGUGAGAAAGAAAAGAUCCCAAAGGAGGGGAGAGCGCAUUGUCUAUACCCUCGGCUCCUUGAAUAAUCGGAGACAGGUUUAUGUCAGUUGAUCACCAUCGCACAAGCUAGCCAGCCAGCCAGAUAGAUGGAUGCACAGGGUAACGGUUCCCACCACAAAACGCCAGCACCCUUCCUAAUUGUUGGGGCUUGGAGUGGCAAGCGUCGAUGGUUAAAGUUAACAAGGACAACAAUAUCAAAUGUCAAUACAAGAAAAAUUGAUAAUGGAUACGAAAAUAGGAACAAAAAGAUUAACAAUAGCAACAAUAAGAACUGCUUUUAAAUUGGUUCAAUGAAAAGAUUUCACGCCAUCUUACCUUCUGAGAAGGUCCACAAAAAGAACCAGAGCCAUAGGUAACGCCAGGUUCACUUUUCAAGCUACAGGCCCACAAUGUACAGAAGAGUACAUACGACUUAAUUUUUGACAUGAGAAAAACACACAAAAGCUGUUCAGGAAAAUGAAAAUCAAGCUGUUUUUUGGAAUACUCACUGAUCCAAUUACUAUAAUAAUCAGACAAAAGAAGUAUAAAACACAGGUAUCAUAACAAACACAUGGCGCACAAGGAAUAGUUCACAAAAUCAAGGAAAAUUUUGGUGUAUUGCUUGAAUGGCUCAGAUUUACCCCACCAUGAAUCACCGAAGUUGGAAAAUGCUUCAGAUAGUACAACACAACAAAGCCUUUCAGUCCCAAACAACUUGGGAUAGGCUAGAGCUGAAACCCAUAAGAUAUUGAAACCUACUCAUUGUUCUGGCAUAUAGAGAAGGGGGACAAUGGCUAACAUAACGAAUGCAGGGACAAUGGCAUACAGAUCCCAGGUGACCCAAGCAAAAGCUCCAAGAGCACCUUCAAUCAUGAUUAGACAAAAUAUAAGACCUUUUUAAACAAACGAAUGCAGUUGACUGGACACUCAUUUUAAACAACCUGCGAGGAAUCAGUUCCUCGGUAAUGAAUCAAAAUGUGGCAAGUUGGCAGCAGCAGCUUAAAAAGAGACUAAUGACCAGCAAAAUAAAUGCUGCUCUGACCAAAAUAAAACUAACGCAGUAUGAGCUUCAGUUCUAAGAAAACACAGAUAUUGCUGAUCAUAACUUUGUCUUUGAAAAAGCAUCUGGCAGGACAAGACAAGCAAAACAACAGCUUCUCGUUAACCACAUGAACAGAACUGCCAAUAGCUAAAAACAUUGGCGAAAAAAGGACAAUCAUGUGAUACACACUCCCUCCGUUCCAUAAUAUAAGAGCGUUUUUUACACUAUAUGUAUUCCCUCCAUGUAUUCAAUGAGAGCUCAGGCAGAGGGAUUCAGAAUUAAGGCAGCAGAUUAGGGUGUAAUUGCAUGCAUACCGAUUCAAGCCAAAAAGUGGAACUGUAUCAUGAAAAAUCCAUCGCGGCAGCUCAGAUCUCAGGCCUCCUUUGGUUCAUAGGAUAGGAAUAUCAUAGGAAUAGGAGCCAUAUGAGUUUUCCCCUAGGAAUCCUAUCCUAUAUAGUUCCUACAAAAUUCCUGUAAACCAAAGGAGGCCUCACCGUGGACACCCGACUUCCCAGGCAUGAGAGGCCACACAGGGUCCCAAUCUUCCACGAUGCCCAACCCAAAACCGCCAGCCCCUGCUGUUUCAGCUGCGGCAACUGCCCGAGGAGGGCCUCCAAGCCAAUGCAUUAGUGCAGUGGGCCUGAACAGGAGGGGUGGCCCCAUGAACCGAAGCUCCAAGGCCACCACCAGGGCUAGGGAUGAUGGCUGGGAAGUUUUAUAAGGACAAUGAUGGCAAGCAUCGAUAAUGGUAGUUAAGGAGGACUAUUAUACCAAUAUCAACACAAGGAAAAGUAAUAAUUGGAUGGUACAAGAGGGGGUGGGGGUGUUAACAGUAGCAUUAAAAAACUGCUUUAAAUUGGUUCAAAAUAAAAAGAUUUCACAUCCUCUCACCUUCCCAGAAGGCCAGAAGGUCCACAGACAGAAAGAACCAGAGCCAUAGAUAGGCAGGUUCACUUUGCAAGCUACAGGCCCAGAGUGUAGAGUAUAAACGACUUAAUUUUCACCAUGGGAUCAUGACCAUUAACGAUUGCCAAUAAGAUAUACUUUUAAAAAGGCUGUUCAGGAAACCAAGCUGUUUUCUGGAGUAUAUUUCAGAAGUACCCAAUGCUAAAAUUACUAUACUCAGGCAGAAGUACAAGUGUGAAGUGUCAGACUCACGUACCAUAACAAAUACAUGAGGAAUCCUCUACUUUUAAAUAGCUACAACCCACUAGCUAAUUUUUAAUAACAUGCAGCCACGCCACAUCAGCACGUAUGGAUGUCAAUCACAAAUGAUAAGUUACAUUUAUUUACAUCCAAUCCACGAUCUAGUUUUUCUAAGCAUGCAACCAUGCCACCUAAGGACCUAUGCAUGUCAAUUAUAAGUUGCAAAAUGCAAUCGUGCCACAUUAGCCAGCCAUACAUGUUGAUGGCGUUGAUAAGUUAUAUUUUUUGAAUUGUACAUGUCGACGUCGUUGAUAGGUUACAUUUUUUUAAUUGACUUUUAUAUUGUCAUAUACAGCAUACAUGGUGGAUACUUGAAGCCUAUCUACGUAGUUCAUGAUUUGCACUCUUUAUAGAAAUAAAAUGGCAUGUUGUUAACUACAAUGUAAGUCGAGAAUACUAUUAUUAUCUUGAAUGAAUGGCUCAGAUUUACCUGACCAUGAAUCACCUUAGUUGGACAAUGCUUCAGGUAGUAACAUAAGGAAUAAAACCUCUCUCCACUCAGCAACAAAUAGCCACAACUGGUAACUUGCUGUAGAGCAAGGCCUCCUAGUUUAAUGACUAACUGUCUAACUGGGCAAAGUUGAAUGGAACCAACCUAGAGACGUGAAAGUGUCUCUAUCUCAGGAUAUGUUGAAAGACACCAAGGGGCGGAAAUCAUCAUAGCCAUUCAGAAAAAGAAUAAUUAUCAACAACACACAACAUAAACAAAUAUGCUGUGUUCAAAAGUUAAUAUGGAAUAGUGCACUGAUGGCCGUAUUACUGGCAAUGAAAGAAGCAAUUGCCAUUUGUUCACUUCAGAUAAAACGAGUCACUCCAAGCCAAAAUAAAAAUAGGAGAACAUGAACUUUCUUUUUUGAACCAGAAGAAAGCCAUCAACAGGGUUAGUGCUGCAGAUUACAUUGAACAUAAUGUAAACGAGAAAUAGAAUUGUAGAUUCGGAAUUAAAAAAUAUAAUUAAUAAAUUAAUAGAUCAAAUGUAAUUAUUACAAUUGCUGAUGCUUGUGGUGCCGCAGUGCAGCAAAUACGUGAAUGUAAGACCUUCCACAAAAUAAAAUGCGGUUACGACUAAAUGGGAAUGCUGAGACAAGAAACAGAACAUGCAUAACAAAGGACAUACAGUUGCAAAUAAUAGCAUAGUUUGAUGAAAAGAUGUGAAAUCCUCUUCCUCUUUCUAGGCCCUUCACAACACAAUUUUUUUAUUUAUUCAAACAAAGUAGUCCUUAAUUCCAUGUAAUCUCUCUCCACACUGUUAAGUGGAUUUUUAAUUCCAAUGUUUAAUGGUAAUUGUUAGCCGCUAAACCGGUUACUUGUUGUGACACAAGGACUCCUAGUUUAGAACCAACUGAAUCAAUUCAGGUGUUAGAUAGAAGCACUAACAGGGAAGCAAUAUCAUCACAGCCAUUCAUGAACAUGACAUGAAGGAAACAAUAAUCUUGACAUCUGAACUUGCCCUAUAUGACCCUUAAGAUGAAAACCAGUAAAUAAAUGAGGAGUGCCCAAAAGUACAAACUGAUAACUAGAUAAAGAGAACAGUAGCAAAAUGAAAUUAUCGAAAGUCAAAUGGCAAUUGAAACAACCAAACUGAUACAGUACCAAAUAAGAUAAUUUCAAAAAAUACCCAAGGCAGCAUUAUUAUCACAGCCAUUCAAGGAAAAAUAAUAACAGAAAAUAAAAAGCCCGGAUGCACCAAACUGGUUCCCUCAAUGGACAACAAAGAUGCACCAAACUAGAUAAAGAGAAUACUAGCAAAAUGAAAUUAUCGAAAGUCAAAUGGCAAUUGAAACAACCAAACUGAUACAGUACCAAAUAAGAUAAUUUCAAAAAAUACCCAAGGGCAGCAUUAUUAUCACAGCCAUUCAAGGAAAAAUAAUAACAGAAAAUAAAAAGCCCGGAUGCACCAAGCUGGUUCCCUCAAUGGACAACAAAAUCAUGGGAAGGCAAACCGAACACCACGAGAGGUGAUUUGUGCGUAGUUGCUCCUAAUGAGAUGGCCCAAUGCCACAACCACGACAAUUCAUCAAUUUAAAACAUAAAAAGGCAAUAGGGAUAAUAGAUGUGUAGAGGGCACAGUAUUAGUUGCAUUGAGAUUUGAGAGGGCUCAGAUUCGCCUUUGAUAUAUCAUACAACCUAGCUCCAUCUUCUUUCACCAGAUCAACCCCCACCACAGAGGUCGAGCUCCUCUGGUUAUCACUCAGCAGAAUGACCAUCCAAGAGAGAGCCGGUCAAUAUUCGGUGAGAAUGAUAAGGUGCCAAAAGAGGGGAGAGUAGGUUUUUGAAGCCCACAGCUCCUCGAAUAAUCGAAGACAAGUUUAUGUCAGACAUGUUUUAUCAUCAUCGCCCCAAAUAGAUAGAUAGAUAGAUGGAUCGAUGGAUGGAUGGAUAGAAGGGGUUAGAUUGUGCUAAAGUUUCCGACAUGGUUCAUUUUGUGUUGAACCUUUCCAAAAAGGUCAAAACAGUGACUUCAACGGCAUCAUGACCAUAGUAUCCAUACAUACAUGCAUUCCAGAAGUUGGCUCUAUUAUUAACCAUGCUCUCAGGAGCUGCUCAUGCCUGGCAUCAACCAACCAAACCUCGGGCUCGGACGCUGCAUCAGACAACACUGUAUGGUUCCCAGCCCACGCCACAACCGAAUCCAAGGCAAUGGAACGGUGGUGGCUGGCGGCACCAUAGUGUCAGUCCACCCAGACCAUGGGUCAGCGAGUAGGCAAUGACAGCUUGACUGAUUUGUUGUAGGAUAUAUAUACUAAUAUACAUAUAUAGACAUAGAGAGAGAGAGAGAGAGAGAGAGAGAGAGAGAGGAGGAUCCAUACCGAAUCCAAAACAAAAUGCAACUGAACAGUGAAAAUUCAGUGUAUGUAGCGUAGCAAAAGAGGGCUCAGCUUUGUCAUUCAUCUUCAAACCCAACACCCACAUCUCUUGCUCAUAACCUACCCAUCGCAGUGUAAGCUGGUUAUCACUCAUCAGAACGACCGUCCAAGGCACAGAUCAUCCAACAUCGGCGACAAAUUGAGCAGGCUGCAACAGAGGCAAGGGUGGGCUCUAAGGGGAACUCCAACGCUGACACCGACUUUCUCAGCUCUGUUUAGUCCCACAAGCUAAGGCUGUCUUGAUUGCUCAAGACAUGAUUAUUUCAGCCAGAGUCAUCAUCAUCGUCGUCCUCGUCAUCGCCCCUCUUUUUGGUCCAAAAAGGAGAUUGCCUCUGCACACCAAGCAAUGACCAUGAAACCCAUUACAUGCGUGCACACAUCCAGCCAUCAAGCUCAGGAGCUGCUCAUACCUGGAGUCGACCGACCAAACCUCCCGGCGCGGAUGACGCGUCAGACAAACACCGUACGGUUCCCAGCCCACGCCACACCCGAAUCCAAGGCAAUGGAACGGCGGUGGCUGGCAGCACCACCGCGGUGCGGAACUGACGUGGCGGCCAACGGGACGAUUGGCCAGCGAUCCGGCAACGAGAGCUCGCCUGAUUCGGCUUAGGGUUUGGGGUCACGGGUGUGAACUGCGCGCACGCGCGCGCACACAGAGUGAGCGAGUGAGUGUGGGGUCAGUCUCGGAGAGAGAUGGGGAUCGUACAGGAUCCAAAGCAACAGGCAGCCAAGCUGCGAGAAAUCCAUCGGCGGCGGCUCAGAUCCCGCGCCGGGCCGACCAAUCCCUCGACCGGAACGCAUCACGAGCCCCGUCGCUCGGUCCCCGCUCCCCAUCCCGCGCGGACGCGG